UCCUCUAAGGUUGGGUAGUAUCUGCAGAAAGAAUUGAAGGCCAAGGAAACAGAAAGAUUAAAGAAAAGGGGUCGAAAGAAUCAUGGAGCCAGAAGAGAGUCACAGCGAGGACCGCAUCUAUAGAUGGUAUGAAAUGAGAAUAAAGAGGAAUCAAGAGAGGUUGCCUAAGUAUACACAUGGCUUAUAUAAAGCCAAUGAAAGGAUUUCUCGGGCAUCAUAACAGAGACACAGAGAUGACAAUAGGUGAGAUCCUAAGUUCCUGUUGCUGAAGAAAUUGAACACUUUGCACAGAGGGCACAUCAAUUUGAGCUGAGUCUAACUUGAAAAGUUCCAUCUGGGCAUUGAUUUUCACAGUACCAAAAAGUAUCGCGCAAGAUGUGAAUAUCCUAGUCGGCCAUCACUGGAAAGAGAGGCCCAUUGGACACGCAAACUGUAUAUGCCCCAGUACAGGGGAACGCC